AUAUGAUACCUACACUAAUCAAUAAUGGUAGCGUUUGGUGCGAUUGCGCGGUGGGGAGUAAGUUUGGUGCAUACGUAUUCAAUCUCUGCAAUCGAACUUGUUCUCUGGGAUCUCCGAUAUUUUCACUAAGGUUCAUUUGCUGGUUAAAAAACACUAUGGCUGAAGGCAUAAACCCUAUCCACAACAUGUUGUAUGACCCAAAAGAACCAGUCGCCGGCUACGACGCGUUACCGCCCGUAUUAAAGGAAUUCAUCAGAAAGCAAAAGGCCGAGAGCUCUUUUCUUGCCAACAACAGAAUUUUCGAGAGGCAUGAUAUUGCUCCAGUUAAUCGUCCGCGUCAUAAUGAGGAUCCCAAUACCUUUGCUAUCAGGCCUUGUGGUGAAACCUAAAUAGGACGGAGAACCGCAGGCGACUUCGGGAGACUGUCUUCUUAAUUAUCCUAUAUAGUAUAUUAAGUGAUUAUUGUAAGUUUCACAUUUGCGUAUGCGAAUUUUUGUUUGAAUAUUACUAAAAUAAAAUUUAUACUCAUUAAAUUAAUACUUAAAUAAAUAAAAUAAAAUAAAUAAAAUAAAAUAAAUUAAUACACAUCUAUGUAUUCGAAUUUUUAACUUAUUUAAGAUUAUAACAUGUUUUUUUCUGUUACUAUAACAUCAAACUUACAAUCAGUAAUUGUUUGUAAAACGCUAAAUAGUAAUAUAAAGAAGUGUUUGUGUAAUAUAAGUACAUUAGUUUUUAGGUUUCAUAAAAUAGUAUUCCUUUGUCGUCCGAAAAGUUUCCUUGCUCAUAAACAGCUUAUUAAUACUACAAUAUAUUAUUCGGUCUGUUCUAUGUUAUUAUCAACCAAUAAAGAUUGAUCGGUUUAAUGAAAACUAAAGCUUAUAAAUAAUUUUUUUUGGUAAAGUUUUGACCGUAAAAAAUUGAACCGUAAUCGAUGAUACAAUAGCGGUUGAUGAUAAACCAUAAGGAGGCAAUAUUCACAAUUGUUUAAAUGUUUUAAUGUUCUCCAUAAGCUAUAGUUGUCGUUCGAAACAUGUAUUAAACUCACUAUGUAUAUCAAAAUAAAGGGCAAUACAGCUUUG